rnacentral:rRNA from 1 species
UCUGUAGCAAGGUUAACCGUAUAGGGGAGCCGUAGGGAAACCGAGUCUUAACCGGGCGUUAAGUUGCAGGGUAUAGACCCGAAACCCGGUGAUCUAGCCAUGGGCAGGUUGAAGGUUGGGUAACACUAACUGGAGGACCGAACCGACUAAUGUUGAAAAAUUAGCGGAUGACCUGUGGCUGGGGGUGAAAGGCCAAUCAAACCGGGAGAUAGCUGGUUCUCCCCGAAAGCUAUUUAGGUAGCGCCUCGUGAAUUCAUCUCCGGGGGUAGAGCACUGUUUCGGCUAGGGGGCCAUCCCGGCUUACCAACCCGAUGCAAACUGCGAAUACCGGAGAAUGUUAUCACGGGAGACACACGGCGGGUGCUAACGUCCGUCGUGAAGAGGGAAACAACCCAGACCGCCAGCUAAGGUCCCAAAGUCAUGGUUAAGUGGGAAACGAUGUGGGAAGGCCCAGACAGCCAGGAUGUUGGCUUAGAAGCAGCCAUCAUUUAAAGAAAGCGUAAUAGCUCACUGGUCGAGUCGGCCUGCGCGGAAGAUGUAACGGGGCUAAACCAUGCACCGAAGCUGCGGCAGCGAACGUAUCACCCAAGACAACUUUACGGAGUUGACGAUUGACGGAGCGAAGCGACGUCAAAGCGUUCAUUAAAGUCGAGUUGGCUUAGGGAUACGUUCGUUGGGUAGGGGAGCGUUCUGUAAGCCUGUGAAGGUGUGUCGUGAGGCAUGCUGGAGGUAUCAGAAGUGCGAAUGCUGACAUAAGUAACGAUAAAGCGGGUGAAAAGCCCGCUCGCCGGAAGACCAAGGGUUCCUGUCCAACGUUAAUCGGGGCAGGGUGAGUCGACCCCUAAGGCGAGGCCGAAAGGCGUAGUCGAUGGGAAACGGGUUAAUAUUCCCGUACUUGGUGUUACUGCGAAGGGGGGACGGAGAAGGCUAUGUUGGCCGGGCGACGGUUGUCCCGGUUUAAGCGUGUAGGUGUGUGUUCCAGGUAAAUCCGGUUCACUUUAACACUGAGGCGUGACGACGAGGCACUACGGUGCUGAAGCAACAAAUGCCCUGCUUCCAGGAAAAGCCUCUAAGCAUCAGGUAACACGAAAUCGUACCCCAAACCGACACAGGUGGUCAGGUAGAGAAUACCAAGGCGCUUGAGAGAACUCGGGUGAAGGAACUAGGCAAAAUGGUGCCGUAACUUCGGGAGAAGGCACGCUGACACGUAGGUGAAGUGAUUUACUCAUGGAGCUGAAGUCAGUCGAAGAUACCAGCUGGCUGCAACUGUUUAUUAAAAACACAGCACUGUGCAAACACGAAAGUGGACGUAUACGGUGUGACGCCUGCCCGGUGCCGGAAGGUUAAUUGAUGGGGUCAGCGCAAGCGAAGCUCCUGAUCGAAGCCCCGGUAAACGGCGGCCGUAACUAUAACGGUCCUAAGGUAGCGAAAUUCCUUGUCGGGUAAGUUCCGACCUGCACGAAUGGCGUAAUGAUGGCCAGGCUGUCUCCACCCGAGACUCAGUGAAAUUGAACUCGCUGUGAAGAUGCAGUGUACCCGCGGCAAGACGGAAAGACCCCGUGAACCUUUACUAUAGCUUGACACUGAACAUUGAGCCUUGAUGUGUAGGAUAGGUGGGAGGCUUUGAAGUGUGGACGCCAGUCUGCAUGGAGCCGACCUUGAAAUACCACCCUUUAAUGUUUGAUGUUCUAACGUGGACCCGUAAUCCGGGUUGCGGACAGUGUCUGGUGGGUAGUUUGACUGGGGCGGUCUCCUCCUAAAGAGUAACGGAGGAGCACGAAGGUUGGCUAAUCCUGGUCGGACAUCAGGAGGUUAGUGCAAUGGCAUAAGCCAGCUUGACUGCGAGCGUGACGGCGCGAGCAGGUGCGAAAGCAGGUCAUAGUGAUCCGGUGGUUCUGAAUGGAAGGGCCAUCGCUCAACGGAUAAAAGGUACUCCGGGGAUAACAGGCUGAUACCGCCCAAGAGUUCAUAUCGACGGCGGUGUUUGGCACCUCGAUGUCGGCUCAUCACAUCCUGGGGCUGAAGUAGGUCCCAAGGGUAUGGCUGUUCGCCAUUUAAAGUGGUACGCGAGCUGGGUUUAGAACGUCGUGAGACAGUUCGGUCCCUAUCUGCCGUGGGCGCUGGAGAACUGAGGGGGGCUGCUCCUAGUACGAGAGGACCGGAGUGGACGCAUCACUGGUGUUCGGGUUGUCAUGCCAAUGGCACUGCCCGGUAGCUAAAUGCGGAAGAGAUAAGUGCUGAAAGCAUCUAAGCACGAAACUUGCCCCGAGAUGAGUUCUCCCUGAGACUUAGAGUCUCCUGAAGGAACGUUGAAGACGACGACGUUGAUAGGCCGGGUGUGUAAGCGCAGCGAUGCGUUGAGCUAACCGGUACUAAUGAACCGUGAGGCUUAACCUUACA